AAACUCUCAGAUGGGCAGGAUAUCAGUCUUGGACUGUCUAACCUCCCGGAGCAGCACUGAAUGAUCACCACACAUGAGCAUGUUCCUGCAACAUUCAGCAUCUGAUCCUUGUUCAUCUGUGUGCUUCUGCUUUUGUGUCAAAUGUCCAACAGCUGGAGAGGAAACUAAACCAGUGUACUGGGAUGUUUCAUCAACAUGUGCCAGACGCUGUUCCUUCAUGGGGACAUCACCAGAGACAGCCCCGCCCACCUCAGGACCUCGCCAUUGAUCAUGAUGAUUAUAAUGAUGACAGCGAGCGGAACUAAGACUGUAAAAAUCUAUGACCAGAAUGUUUAGGUGCUUUCUAAUUAUUAAUGAAUACUGAGAGCCUCUUUCUGUGUUUUGUCUGUUUUGAUUUUUUUACCUCAUUUGUUUCUAACAAAGUUCCCCAAACUCACACAGUUUACAUUCUGUAUGCGUUUCCAUCUUUACCAGCCACACUCUAACUGCCUUUAGGAAAACAAACCAUAGAAAUCGUCGUUUUUCUCUUUUGUAAUUGAUGAUAAUUCAGUGAAUAUAUUGCGCUGCUUCCUUUUAUUGCGUCACACAUUGCUUUACGUUUUUCAGUGUCCAGUUAUUUUUUACUGCUGUUUGAAUUCUCUGUAUGUUUAACCCUAUAGACUGUGUAAUGGACUGCUUGUCGCCCUGUUUGUAACCGCCGCCUGCUUUUGACUAAAGAUUUGGAUUUCUGACUUUAACACAGCCUCUGUGUGUCCUCCCUUUGUG
rnacentral:lncRNA from 1 species